rnacentral:rRNA from 1 species
UGCAAGUCGAACGGAAGUCGUUGUAAUGAAAUAGAAACGGACAGAGAACUUGUUCGAAGAAAGUGGAAGUAGACUUACAACAAUGGCUUUAGUGGCGGACUGGUGAGUAACGCGUAAGGAACCUGCCUUCUAGGGGGGAAUAACAAUGAGAAAUCAUUGCUAAUACCGCAUAUGCCGAGAGAAUCACAUGGUACAAUCGGGAAAAGAGUAAUCUGCUAGAAGAUGGCCUUGCGUCUGAUUAGAUAGUUGGUGGGGUAACGGCCUACCAAGUCGACGAUCAGUAGCCGGACUGAGAGGUUGAACGGCCACAUUGGGACUGAGAUACGGCCCAGACUCCUACGGGAGGCAGCAGUCGGGAAUAUUGCGCAAUGGAGGAAACUCUGACGCAGUGACGCCGCGUAUAGGAAGAAGGUUUUCGGAUUGUAAACUAUUGUCGUUAGGGAAGAGAAAGGACAGUACCUAAGGAGGAAGCUCCGGCUAACUACGUGCCAGCAGCCGCGGUAAUACGUAGGGAGCGAGCGUUAUCCGGAAUUAUUGGGUGUAAAGGGUGCGUAGACGGGAAGAUAAGUUAGUUGUGAAAUCCCUCGGCUUAACUGAGGAACUGCAACUAAAACUGUUUUUCUUGAGUGCAGGAGAGGUAAGUGGAAUUCCUAGUGUAGCGGUGAAAUGCGUAGAUAUUAGGAGGAACACCAGUGGCGAAGGCGACUUACUGGACUGUAACUGACGUUGAGGCACGAAAGUGUGGGGAGCAAACAGGAUUAGAUACCCUGGUAGUCCACACCGUAAACGAUGGAUACUAGGUGUAGGAGAUAUUAAGUCUUCUGUGCCGUCGCAAACGCAGUAAGUAUCCCACCUGGGG